CCAGGGUGGGGCGAGGGGCAGGUCUUGCAGAGGCUGGGCAGAGGCUGCUCUAUGGGGAGCUGCAAUUGGAAAUGAGCAACGGUGCGCAGGAAGUGUUAACCCUGCGCAGGUUAAACGUCCAGCUCUGAGAGCUGCUCCCUCACUCCACCUGCCUCAAAGGUGAUAUUUCCCUCCCCCUCCCUAGGAGAGAGUAGCCCCUAACAGAUGCUGAUCUGGGUCUAGCUCUGUCCAGAUGGCUGAGGUUGCGCCUGGGAUAAAGGUGGAAUUAGGGAUCUGGGGCAGGGGCUGGGAAAAGCUGUCCCAGCACAGGCAGCAGCAUCCAGGUGGAGAGAGAAACAGCAAAAAAGGUGCAUUCUCAUGCUAGAGCUGAGGCUGUUGCCAGCAGCCAGGAAACCUAGCCCGGGUCGCACCUUGCAGGAUGGAGGGGAAGAAGUAUUCUGAGUCUCUCCCGCUUAGCCUUACAGAUGGGUAAGGAGAGACCUAGCUGGGAGGCGGUCCUCCUGACUUUGCACAGUGCGUGGGGGGAAAUGGUUCCUCUCCCCCAACCCAAAGGGGAAGCAGGUGGGCAGGCGCAUCCCACCAACUGGCCAGGAGCCUCUGUUACAUUGUGGCUAAGGAGCUGCCUGGCAGGGGCAGCUAUUGGGCCACCGCUGAUAGUGCCUCUCCUCUUGGUGCUGCCUCUGCCUCCCUCCACUAAGGAGGCACCUUGCCUGCCUGCUGUCCCAUAGUGCCCAGCCCCAGCUCCAGCCCAUAGAGGAGGGAGGAACACUGGAAGGGCCCUGAGUACCAGGGGGCGAGGCCAGGGAGAAGAUGGGUAUGAGCUCAGGAUUCCACGGUUAGCGCUUCGAAGAAAUGCUCACGGGACCCUGCAGGAGCUUUCAGAGUCCCCUACAUGCUCUCUGGUGACCCUAACUCGCAGCACCAUCUGCUCUGUGCCCGUGUGCUAAGCACGAGGUCUUUCAAGGCCAGUGGGGAGGAUGAGGAAGGAAUCUGGUUGUCCUGGCUAAUGGAGCAUGUCCCUGGAGUUCUCGGGGAGAUGACAGGCUCUGGUCUAAGAGGCAGGGACAGGGGUUCUGUCCCUAAUGAGCUGUGUGCCCCGUGCACCUCCUUCAUAGACUAUGAGGAUGGGAUAGAACCCUGAGGGGUCCUUCCAGCUCCCAGAGUUCUGAUUCCAGGGUUGUGCUCUGUCAGUAAGUGUCCCCCAGCCUGGGCAGACCCCAGUCCCUUCUGUAAGGUAGACGCAAAGUAAAGAGGUUAUGACCGGCUCACCCAGGGGCCUGGGAAGGUUAUGGCCAUAUGCCCACUUCACUCUGCAGGACAAGUGGCCUGUCCCCACUAUAUUCACCUCCUCACCCCUCUCCCUUGGAUGGACCAGUGGUGGUGUCACCCAAAGCAAAUUGACACUAUUUUUCCCUUGGUAACCGCAAAGGGGGAGAAUCACCCGUCUCCUAAUUUUAACCAGUACGUGAGGGACCAGGGCGCCAUGACCGACCAGCUGAGCAGGCGGCAGAUCCGUGAGUACCAACUCUACAGCCGGACCAGUGGCAAGCACGUGCAGGUCACCGGGCGUCGCAUCUCCGCCACCGCAGAGGACGGCAACAAGUUUGCCAAGCUCAUAGUGGAGACGGACACGUUUGGCAGCCGGGUUCGCAUCAAAGGGGCUGAGAGCGAGAAGUACAUCUGUAUGAACAAGAGGGGCAAGCUCAUCGGGAAGCCCAGCGGGAAGAGCAAAGACUGCGUGUUCACGGAGAUCGUGCUGGAGAACAACUACACGGCCUUCCAGAACGCCCGGCACGAGGGCUGGUUCAUGGCCUUCACGCGGCAGGGGCGGCCCCGCCAGGCUUCCCGCAGCCGCCAGAACCAGCGCGAGGCCCACUUCAUCAAGCGCCUCUACCAAGGCCAGCUGCCCUUCCCCAACCACGCCGAGAAGCAGAAGCAGUUCGAGUUUGUGGGCUCCGCCCCCACCCGCCGGACCAAGCGCACGCGGCGGCCCCAGCCCCUCACGUAGUCUGGGAGGCAGGGGGCAGCAGCCCCGGGGCCGCCUCCCCACCCCCUUCCCUUCUUAAUCCAAGGACUGGGCUGGGGUGGCGGGAGGGGAGCCAGAUCCCUGAGGGAGGACCCUGAGGGCCGCGAAGCAUCCGAGCCCCCAGCUGGGAAGGGGCAGGCCUGUGCCCCAGGGGCGGCUGGCACAGUGCCCCCUUCGCGGACGGGUGGCAGGCCCUGGAGAGGAACUGAGGGUCACCCUGAUCUCAGGCCGCCAGCCUCUGCCGGCCUCCCAGCCGGGCUCCUGAAGCCCGCUGAAAGGUCAGCGACUGAAGGCCUUGCAGACAACCGUCUGGAGGUGGCUGUCCUCAAAAUCUGCUUCCCGGAUCUCCCUCAGUCUGCCCCCAGCCCCCAAACUCCUCCUGGCUAGACUGUAGGAAGGGACUUGUGUUUGUUUGUUUGUUUCAGGAAAAAAGAAAGGGAGAGAGAGAGAGGAAAAUAGAGGGUUGUCCACUCCUCACAUUCCACGACCCAGGCCUGCACCCCACCCCCAACUCCCAGCCCCGGAAUAAAACCAUUUUCCUGC
rnacentral:sRNA from 1 species